ACCGGCCGACCGCCGAGUUCUCCGGCGCCCGCCGGAGAAGCGGGGGACCCGAUUCUUUGGGGCGAAUCCGUUAAAACGGUAGGGCAAGAAACCUCCUGUCCGAGCCCGGCAGCUAACCCCGUAGGCAGGAGGAGGAGACAU
rnacentral:sRNA from 2 species